rnacentral:rRNA from 1 species
GUGACUGCGUACCUUUUGUAUAAUGGGUCAGCGACUUAUAUUCUGUAGCAAGGUUAACCGAAUAGGGGAGCCGGAGGGAAACCGAGUCUUAAUUGGGCGUUAAGUUGCAGGGUAUAGACCCGAAACCCGGUGAUCUAGCCAUGGGCAGGUUGAAGGUUGGGUAACACUAACUGGAGGACCGAACCGACUAAUGUUGAAAAAUUAGCGGAUGACCUGUGGCUGGGGGUGAAAGGCCAAUCAAACCGGGAGAUAGCUGGUUCUCCCCGAAAGCUAUUUAGGUAGCGCCUCGUGAAUUCAUCUCCGGGGGUAGAGCACUGUUUCGGCUAGGGGGCCAUCCCGGCUUACCAACCCGAUGCAAACUGCGAAUACCGGAGAAUGUUAUCACGGGAGACACACGGCGGGUGCUAACGUCCGUCGUGAAGAGGGAAACAACCCAGACCGCCAGCUAAGGUCCCAAAGUCAUGGUUAAGUGGGAAACGAUGUGGGAAGGCCCAGACAGCCAGGAUGUUGGCUUAGAAGCAGCCAUCAUUUAAAGAAAGCGUAAUAGCUCACUGGUCGAGUCGGCCUGCGCGGAAGAUGUAACGGGGCUAAACCAUGCACCGAAGCUGCGGCAGCGACACUGUGUGUUGUUGGGUAGGGGAGCGUUCUGUAAGCCUGUGAAGGUGUGUCGUGAGGCAUGCUGGAGGUAUCAGAAGUGCGAAUGCUGACAUAAGUAACGAUAAAGCGGGUGAAAAGCCCGCUCGCCGGAAGACCAAGGGUUCCUGUCCAACGUUAAUCGGGGCAGGGUGAGUCGACCCCUAAGGCGAGGCCGAAAGGCGUAGUCGAUGGGAAACGGGUUAAUAUUCCCGUACUUGGUGUUACUGCGAAGGGGGGACGGAGAAGGCUAUGUUGGCCGGGCGACGGUUGUCCCGGUUUAAGCGUGUAGGUGUGUGUUCCAGGUAAAUCCGGUCCACUUUAACACUGAGGCGUGAUGACGAGGCACUACGGUGCUGAAGCAACAAAUGCCCUGCUUCCAGGAAAAGCCUCUAAGCAUCAGGUAACAUCAAAUCGUACCCCAAACCGACACAGGUGGUCAGGUAGAGAAUACCAAGGCGCUUGAGAGAACUCGGGUGAAGGAACUAGGCAAAAUGGUGCCGUAACUUCGGGAGAAGGCACGCUGACACGUAGGUGAAGUGAUUUACUCAUGGAGCUGAAGUCAGUCGAAGAUACCAGCUGGCUGCAACUGUUUAUUAAAAACACAGCACUGUGCAAACACGAAAGUGGACGUAUACGGUGUGACGCCUGCCCGGUGCCGGAAGGUUAAUUGAUGGGGUCAGCGCAAGCGAAGCUCCUGAUCGAAGCCCCGGUAAACGGCGGCCGUAACUAUAACGGUCCUAAGGUAGCGAAAUUCCUUGUCGGGUAAGUUCCGACCUGCACGAAUGGCGUAAUGAUGGCCAGGCUGUCUCCACCCGAGACUCAGUGAAAUUGAACUCGCUGUGAAGAUGCAGUGUACCCGCGGCAAGACGGAAAGACCCCGUGAACCUUUACUAUAGCUUGACACUGAACAUUGAGCCUUGAUGUGUAGGAUAGGUGGGAGGCUUUGAAGCGUGGACGCCAGUCUGCGUGGAGCCGACCUUGAAAUACCACCCUUUAAUGUUUGAUGUUCUAACGUGGACCCGUAAUCCGGGUUGCGGACAGUGUCUGGUGGGUAGUUUGACUGGGGCGGUCUCCUCCUAAAGAGUAACGGAGGAGCACGAAGGUUGGCUAAUCCUGGUCGGACAUCAGGAGGUUAGUGCAAUGGCAUAAGCCAGCUUGACUGCGAGCGUGACGGCGCGAGCAGGUGCGAAAGCAGGUCAUAGUGAUCCGGUGGUUCUGAAUGGAAGGGCCAUCGCUCAACGGAUAAAAGGUACUCCGGGGAUAACAGGCUGAUACCGCCCAAGAGUUCAUAUCGACGGCGGUGUUUGGCACCUCGAUGUCGGCUCAUCACAUCCUGGGGCUGAAGUAGGUCCCAAGGGUAUGGCUGUUCGCCAUUUAAAGUGGUACGCGAGCUGGGUUUAGAACGUCGUGAGACAGUUCGGUCCCUAUCUGCCGUGGGCGCUGGAGAACUGAGGGGGGCUGCUCCUAGUACGAGAGGACCGGAGUGGACGCAUCACUGGUGUUCGGGUUGUCAUGCCAAUGGCACUGCCCGGUAGCUAAAUGCGGAAGAGAUAAGUGCUGAAAGCAUCUAAGCACGAAACUUGCCCCGAGAUGAGUUCUCCCUGAGACUUAGAGUCUCCUGAAGGAACGUUGAAGACGACGACGUUGAUAGGCCGGGUGUGUAAGCGCAGCGAUGCGUUGAGCUAACCGGUACUAAUGAACCGUGAGGCUUAACCUUACAACGCCGAAG